AUGGGAUCAGUGCCAGCCGAAAAUUCUAGAGCAUGCCCCCAAAUGCAAAUGGACCAUCUCGUAACGCCCAGUGUUGGAUGCUUCCGGGGUCUUGACUACAUAGUCGAUUUCGUGGCAAAGCAACUGAGUUGGGCACCUGCUCUAGAAGAAGUGAAGAUAGAAUGGAAGGGCGAAACAGACAGCAGCAUGGUUCUUGCCAUGCUAUUAGCUCUGCCGAGGUCAUUGUUACAUUUUGAUUCCUUUAACAAAAAAAUGUUACAUUUUGAUAAGCAUGCUGCCCCAUCACUUUGCCUAUGUAAUUUGCUGCUGAGUUCAUGUGAAUGUACCACCUACGACUAG
rnacentral:rRNA from 1 species